AUUACCGAGCGCGAUGCCACGCAGGGCGCCAGCCCCGCGUGGCCGACCCUCCACCCGUGCUGAUAUUUCAGGCUACUUUGGCGGGCCGGGCUCGACCUACCGGCUCCGGCCGGGAGCGCCCGCCAGAGACGCCCCAACUCGUGCUGUCAGUGAUGUCUGAGUUACAAUUAAUAAAGUAAAACUUUCAACAACGGAUCUCUUGGCUCUGGCAUCGAUGAAGAACGCAGCGAAAUGCGAUAAGUAAUGUGAAUUGCAGAAUUUAGUGAAUCAUCGAAUCUUUGAACGCACAUUGCGCCCCCCGGUAUUCCGAGGGGCAUGCCUGUUCGAGCGUCAUAACAACCCCUCAAGCCUAGCUUGGUCUUGGGGCCUGCCCGCUGGGCGGCCCUUAAACACAGUGGCGGUGCCGUCGUGCUCUACGCGUAGUAACUCUUCUCGCGACAGGGCGCUGACGGGACCUGCCGAAGCUCCAUCUCUCGGUUGACCUCGGAUCAGGUAGGGAUACCCGCUGAACUUAAGCAUAUCAAUAAGCGGAGGA
rnacentral:rRNA from 1 species